GGAUGUAUAGGGUGUGACGCCUGCCCGGUGCUCGAAGGUUAAUUGAUGGGGUUAGCAUUAGCGAAGCUCUUGAUCGAAGCCCGAGUAAACGGCGGCCGUAACUAUAACGGUCCUAAGGUAGCGAAAUUCCUUGUCGGUUAAAUACCGACCUGCAUGAAUGGCGUAACGAGAUGGGAGCUGUCUCAAAGAGGGAUCCAGUGAAAUUGUAGUGGAGGUGAAAAUUCCUCCUACCCGCGGCAAGACGGAAAGACCCCGUGGACCUUUACUAUAGCUUGACACUGCUACUUGGAUAAAAAUGCGCAGGAUAGGUGGGAGGCUUUGAUCCAUAGAUUUUGGUUUAUGGUGAGCCAUUGUUGAGAUACCACUCUUUUUUAUUUGGGUAGCUAACUAGCAUGAGUUAUCCUCAUGUAGGACAAUGUCUGGUGGGUAGUUUGACUGGGGCGGUCGCCUCCCAAAUGUAACGGAGGCUUACAAAGGAGCAGAGACGAAAGUCGGUCUUAGUGAUCCGGUGGUUCUGUGUGGAAGGGCCAUCGCUCAAAGGAUAAAAGGUACCCCGGGGAUAACAGGCUGAUCUCCCCCAAGAGCUCACAUCGACGGGGAGGUUUGGCACCUCGAUGUCGGCUCAUCGCAUCCUGGGGCUGGAGCAGGUCCCAAGGGUAUGGCUGUUCGCCAUUUAAAGCGGUACGCGAGCUGGGUUCAGAACGUCGUGAGACAGUUCGGUCCCUAUCUGCCGUGGGCGUAAGAAGAUUGAGGAGAGUUGACCCUAGUACGAGAGGACCGGGUCGAACCAACCACUGGUGUAUGGGUUGUUCUGCCAAGAGCAUCGCCCAGUAGCUAAGUUGGGAUGUGAUAAGAGCUGAAAGCAUCUAAGCUCGAAGCCAACUCCAAGAUGAAUCUUCUUUUAAGAGCUCUUAUAGACUAUAAGUUUGAUAGGCUGGAUGUGUAAGUGAUGUAAGUCAUUUAGCUGACCAGUACUAAUAGCUCGUUUGCUUAUCUUU
rnacentral:rRNA from 1 species